GCUUUGAAACACCGGUUACCGUACGAUCAUCGAAGUUGAGCAGCAUCGAGGCUGGUCAGUACCGAAAUGGGUGACCUCUUGGAAAUAGCAGGUGUUGUAA